rnacentral:rRNA from 1 species
AACACGCUGUAAACGAUGUCGACUUGGAGGUUGUUCCCUUGAGGAGUGGCUUCCGGAGCUAACGCGUUAAGUCGACCGCCUGGGGAGUACGGCCGCAAGGUUAAAACUCAAAUGAAUUGACGGGGGCCCGCACAAGCGGUGGAGCAUGUGGUUUAAUUCGAUGCAACGCGAAGAACCUUACCUACUCUUGACAUCCAGAGAACUUAGCAGAGAUGCUUUGGUGCCUUCGGGAACUCUGAGACAGGUGCUGCAUGGCUGUCGUCAGCUCGUGUUGUGAAAUGUUGGGUUAAGUCCCGCAACGAGCGCAACCCUUAUCCUUUGUUGCCAGCGGUUCGGCCGGGAACUCAAAGGAGACUGCCAGUGAUAAACUGGAGGAAGGUGGGGAUGACGUCAAGUCAUCAUGGCCCUUACGAGUAGGGCUACACACGUGCUACAAUGGCAUAUACAAAGAGAAGCGACCUCGCGAGAGCAAGCGGACCUCAUAAAGUAUGUCGUAGUCCGGAUCGGAGUCUGCAACUCGACUCCGUGAAGUCGGAAUCGCUAGUAAUCGUGGAUCAGAAUGCCACGGUGAAUACGUUCCCGGGCCUUGUACACACCGCCCGUCACACCAUGGGAGUGGGUUGCAAAAGAAGUAGGUAGCUUAAC